UACGUAGGGUGCGAGCGUUAAUCGGAAUUACUGGGCGUAAAGUGUGCGCAGGCGGCCGAGCAAGUCGAGUGUGAAAGCCCCGAGCUUAACUUGGGAACCUGCGCUCGAAACUACUUGGCUAGAGUGUGGCAGAGGGAGGUGGAAUUCCACGUGUAGCGGUGAAAUGCGUAGAGAUGAUGGAGGAACACCGAUGGCGAAGGCAGCCUCCUGGGCCAACACUGACGCUCAUGCACGAAAGCGUGGGGAGCAAACAGG
rnacentral:rRNA from 1 species